rnacentral:rRNA from 1 species
AUGAGCAAGGCACUAAGUCCGCGUUACCAGGGUCUAUCCACUUACGAAAAGGAAUAUUUGGCAGUCAUUGUGGCGGUGGACCAGUGGAGACCUUACCUCCAGCACAUAGAGUUCAUCAUCUCCACUGACCAACGCAGCCUAAUCCACCUCAACGAGCAGCGCCUCACAACACCAUGGCAGCAGAAGGCGUUUACUAAGCUCCUGGGGCUGCGUUUCACCGCCCGUUACAAGAAAGGAAGCGACAACACGGCCGUCGAUGCUCUCUCGCGCGCCAAUCUAACCAAGCUGCUGCAUGGCAUCAAUUCCUGCCAACCCGCCUGGCUCGAGGAGGUCAUCGCCAGUUACAACAGUAACCCACAUGCUCAGCGUCUUCUGGAACAACUAUCCAUCAGGGAGGACCCAAAAGGGCGGUUCACCCUCAAACAAGGACUGCUGCGUUUUCGUGACAGAAUCUGGCUAGGGGGGUCAACACAGAUGCAGCAACGCAUUAUAUUGGCAUUCCACGACAGCGCCAUGGGGGACAUUCAUGCUUCCCAGUGA